rnacentral:rRNA from 1 species
GUUUGUCGCGUUGUUCGUGAAAUCUCACGGCUUAACUGUGAGCGUGCGGGCGAUACGGGCAGACUUGAGUACUGCAGGGGAGACUGGAAUUCCUGGUGUAGCGGUGGAAUGCGCAGAUAUCAGGAGGAACACCGGUGGCGAAGGCGGGUCUCUGGGCAGUAACUGACGCUGAGGAGCGAAAGCGUGGGGAGCGAACAGGAUUAGAUACCCUGGUAGUCCACGCCGUAAACGGUGGGUACUAAGUGUGGGUUUCCUUCCUUGGGAUCCGUGCCGUAGCUAACGCAUUAAGUACCCCGCCUGGGGAGUACGGCCGCAAGGCUAAAACUCAAAGAAAUUGACGGGGGCCCGCACAAGCGGCGGAGCAUGUGGAUUAAUUCGAUGCAACGCGAAGAACCUUACCUGGGUUUGACAUGCACAGGACGCCGGCAGAGAUGUCGGUUCCCUUGUGGCCUGUGUGCAGGUGGUGCAUGGCUGUCGUCAGCCCGUGUCGUGAGAUGUUGGGUUAAGUCCCGCAACGAGCGCAACCCUUGUCUCAUGUUGCCAGCGGGUAAUGCCGGGGACUCGUGAGAGACUGCCGGGGUCAACUCGGAGGAAGGUGGGGAUGACGUCAAGUCAUCAUGCCCCUUAUGUCCAGGGCUUCACACAUGCUACAAUGGCCGGUACAAAGGGCUGCGAUGCCGCGAGGUUAAGCGAAUCCUUUUAAAGCCGGUCUCAGUUCGGAUCGGGGUCUGCAACUCGACCCCGUGAAGUCGGAGUCGCUAG